rnacentral:rRNA from 1 species
AUUGCACGCUGGCGGCAUUCCUCACACCUUCCAGUCGCGCGAGCGGCGGACGGGUGAGUAAUGUCUGGGAAACUGCCUGAUGGAGGGGGAUAACUACUGGAAACGGUAGCUAAUACCGCAUACCAUCAGAUGUUCCCAGAUGGGAUUAGCUAGUAGGUGGGGUAACGGCUCACCUAGGCGACGCUCCCUAGCUGGUCUGAGAGGAUGACCAGCCACACUGGAACUGAGACACGGUCCAGACUCCUACGGGAGGCAGCAGUGGGGAAUAUUGCACAAUGGGCGCAAGCCUGAUGCAGCCAUGCCGCGUGUGUGAAGAAGGCCUUCGGGUUGUAAAGCACUUUCAGCGGGGAGGCGUUACCCGCAGAAGAAGCAAAGGCUAACGCAGUGCAAGCAGCCGCGGUAAUAC